rnacentral:tRNA from 2 species
GCCGCUGUGGCGGAAUUGGCAGACGCGCGGGACUUAAAAUCCCGUGGUGGCAACACCGUGUCGGUUCGAGCCCGACCAGCGGCAUCA